rnacentral:rRNA from 1 species
ACCCGCACAAGCAGCGGAGCGUGUGGUUUAAUUCGUUGCUACACGAAGAACCUUACCUGGGUUUGACAUAUAGGUUGUAGGGAACUGAAAAGGGACCGACCUUCGGGAGCCUAUACAGGUGUUGCAUGGCUGUCGUCAGCUCGUGUCGUGAGAUGUUCGGUUAAGUCCGCUAACGAGCGCAACCCUCGUCGUAUGUUAUAUGUGUCAUACGAGACUGCCGGUAAAAAGCCGGAGGAAGGUGAGGAUGAUGUCAAGUCAGCAUGACCUUUAUAUCCAGGGCUACACACACGCUACAAUGGUCUGUACAAUGGGUAGCCAAGCCGCGAGGCGGAGCCAAUCCUGAAAGCAGGCCUCAGUUCAGAUUGUAGGCUGCAACCCGCCUGCAUGAAGAUGGAGUUGCUAGUAACCGCAGGUCAGCUAUACUGCGGUGAAUACGUUCCCGGGGCUU